rnacentral:rRNA from 1 species
CAGCCGCCACGGUAAAACGAAGGGUGCAAGCGUUAAUCGGAAUUACUGGGCGUAAAGCGUGCGUAGGCGGUUUGUUAAGUCUGCUGUGAAAUCCCCGGGCUCAACCUGGGAAUGGCAGUGGAUACUGGCAAGCUAGAGUGUGUCAGAGGAUGGUGGAAUUCCCGGUGUAGCGGUGAAAUGCGUAGAGAUCGGGAGGAACAUCAGUGGCGAAGGCGGCCAUCUGGGACAACACUGACGCUGAGGCACGAAAGCGAGGGGAGCAAACAGGAUUAGAUACCCCAGUAGUCCCUGUCUCUUAUAC